CCCAGCCUAACCAAUGUGCAGACUACUGUACACAUUCAGAGCCCCCUGAACAGGUAGUCUGAACACUGGGUUGGCGGG
rnacentral:pre_miRNA from 1 species